GCGCGGAGAAAGUGGAGAAACUAGUAGGUAGCUAGAAAGAGAUGAGUUUUAGUUGGUUCCUAAAUGCUUCCAGGGAAGAUACUGAUCUCAGUUCAACUGGCAGAGAGUUCCACAAAGCUGGUGCAGCAGCACUGAAAGCUCUGUCUCCCAUGGAUGUUUUUGUAGCUGGCAUUUUCAGGCUGCCUCUUUUCUCAGACCUCAGGACACGAGUUGGACGAUAGAUUUCUGAUGAUGUCUUUGAGGUAAGCUGGUGAAUUGAUGUCAUAGAGGGUUGAGUAGGUGAUGCAAAUUAUUUUGUACUGUAUUCUCCUCUUUACUGGGAGCCAGUGCAACGACCUCAGUACAGGUGUGAUGUGUUCCUGACAUUUUGUCCUGGUAAUGAUCCUGGCAGCCUCUGUUUUGUACAAGCUGGAGAUGUUGGAUUGCUGCUGCUCCUGACACGAGGGAGUUACAGUAGUCUAGGCGUGAGAUGACGUAUGACUGUACUAAAAAGUUUGGUUGUGUCAAUAAAGUGGAAAUAAACAAUAAACCAUUAAAAUCC